rnacentral:rRNA from 1 species
UUCCUACGGGAGGCAGCAGUGGGGGAUAUUGCACAAUGGGGGGAACCCUGAUGCAGCGACGCCGCGUGGGUGAAGAAGCGUCUCGGUGCGUAAAGCUCUGUCAGCAGGGAAGAAAAUGACGGUACCUGAAGAAGAAGCCCCGGCUAACUACGUGCCAGCAGCCGCGGUAAUACGUAGGGGGCAAGCGUUAUCCGGAUUUACUGGGUGUAAAGGGGGCGUAGACGGCGAUGCAAGUCAGGAGUGAAAGACCGGGGCGCAACCACGGGACUGCUCUUGGAACUGCGAGGCUGGAGUGCAGGAGGGGG